rnacentral:tRNA from 1 species
GGGUAGGUGGCCGAGUGGUUAAAGGCGACAGACUGUAAAUCUGUUCUCAUCCGAGUACGGUGGUUCGAAUCCACCCCUGCCCACCA